rnacentral:miRNA from 1 species
AACGAGGGGUAUUCCACAAAAAAUUACCCUGAGGGAUGAAAUAUUCCGAGGGCGAAGCCCUUGGAAUAUUUCAUCCCGUAGGGUAAUUUUUUGUGGAAUACCCCGA